rnacentral:misc_RNA from 1 species
AAGAAAACCUGCAGAAGCAUGGCAAAUUUAUUAAAUUCCAAAAUAUUUAAAACAAGACAUAUACAGGAAGUUGACUGGACUCCCUACAAGAGCUUUAUAUAGUAAAGAAAGGAAUGGGAAAUUUCGCACACAUGGAGAUGCACUAUUAGCAAACAAGCACUUCAACCAGAAGCAGUAUCUAAAAGUUUAGAAAAUGAGACUAUCAUUACCAGCCCAUAGCCAGUAGCUUCA